AUUUGAUGGUGUGGGCAACUGGCACACAGUUGUUUGAACCGCUCCCAGUAUUCAUAGAGGAUCUCCCCAUUUGCUUGCCUAACUCUAUAUAUCUCCUUCCUGAUGUU